UUCUCUCUGCUCAACUACAAUCAGAUUUCAGCAUUCAAUCUUUCUUCUUCUCAAAUAAUACCAAUCACAUUUCCAUUCCAUAAUUCACUUCACAAUAUUCAGAAACUUUUAAUCCUCUUAUUCAAAGAAAAUAACAAACAAAAGAAAAGAGGUAGUGUCAUGGACACAAAAAUAUAGACUCGAGAUCUAACAAGAAGUUCAAGAAGAACUGGCAAGAAUUAGAUUAAUGAGAUGUAUACAAGAACAACACCAAAGAGGUGAGCUAGAACUCCAAGAGAUGUGUUGUCGAGACCAAAGAACUCUUCAGCCUCGAUUCCAAUAUAUACUCCCAUUUAGGAAGCUUCUCAAGCAACUUCUACCAACUAGAAAGCUUCUAGAAGGCUCCAGAGACUUGCUUCUAGAAGGUUCUAGAAACUUAUCUCUAGAAGGUUCUAAGGACUAUGUCCCUAACAUCUUCUACCAACUAAGAAGCUUCUAGAAGGUUCCAAAGACUUGCUUCUAGAAGGUUCUAGAAACUUGUCUCUAAAAGAUUUUAAGGACUAUGUUCAUAACAUCACCCCCUCCUUUAGCUUCGAGGUCUCUGAGAAGCAAUGUUGUUAAUCAGUACCAACGCAAGAAAAUGAAGAUCUGUCGCAUAACGUCUGCUAUGAACUCCAACUGUUGUUCACGAGGCAAGUGGUUCAUCGGCCCUUGAAGCCAAUGGUAGUUGCCCACUCCUUCAACUUCUGACCAAGCAUGAACUUCUUUGUCUUCAUUGUAAAAUUGUCCAGCAAAUACGCCUUCUAGCUGACCAUUGUAAGCAGGCUCGGACUCAAAUACAAUCACUAGUGAUCAGUUACUCGAUAUCUUCCGUCCUCGUCGUGGUAUAGGCGGUUCUUCAUCUCGGGGUCACCUUCGUGAGCUAGUCGGUUGAGAUAAUCUGACUGACAUAGUAUCUAUCUCUUGGCUAUCCAUAUCAAAAGACCAAACUAUGGCUAUUCAAAAAAAUUCUAUUUUAUCUUGGAGAAAAUAACUACAUCAACUACAAAUUUUGGUAGUGCUCUCCCUCUUUCUUAUAUUCUUAGGUGAGCAAGCUUCAGAAGGAAGCUAUCAUCAAACCGGCUUGGGUUUAUGAGGAUGUUGUUGAUGAAACUCCUAUACCUUUUGCGGCGCAUUGGCAAGAUUUUUAGCUGGCUCCCACGUUCGCUCAUUAAUGUCAUAGCCACACCAAUGAACAAGAUAUUCCAACUUGCCCCACCUUUGCCGUGAAUCUAGUACCUUUUCAACCUCGUAUUCCUUGUGGUUUUUGAUCUCAAUACUAAGUGGUGGAUAUUAUACUCUUCCAAGAAAAGACGACUCUCGAUAAGGCUCCAACAGAGAAACAUGAAAGACUGGAUGUACCUUCAUAGAAGCCGGUAAUUCCAAAUGGUACGCCAUUGGAUUGAUUUGCUGCUGGAUGAUAAAUGGUCCCAAUCUUCGAUAGUCCAACUUAUCACAUGGUCGCUUGGUCUUGAUAUUCCGUCAAAGAAGCCAUGCUUUAUCUCCAAUUUUGAAAGUAGAUGCUUGAUUCUAAAAUCUAUCUACACACACCUUGUAGGAUUCUUGAGCGGAUUGUAAUUGAAGCUUCAAUGUAUUUUGAAGCUCUAAUAGUUAUUUCGCAAAUCCUUCAGCUGCUAGAUUGUUAUUUGUUGACGGACUCAAUAAAUCAAGCUUCAGAUAAUACCCAUAGUUGGAAAAGAAUGGUGAGUAUUGAGUCGACGCAUGGAAGGUGUUGUUAUAUGCAAACUCGGCUAGCAACAGAUAUGUGGUCCAAUUGUCUUGCUAAUAGUUGAUGCUGCAUCGUAAGUAUUGUUCCAAGACUUAGUUCACCCAUUCCAUUUGACCGUCAGUUUGAGGAUGAAAAGCCGAAGAAAGCUUGAUAUCCACCUUCAGUAUCUCAAAGAGAGAUCUCCAAAACUUUGAUACAAACUGGGUUCCUCGAUCUGAUACGAUAUCAUCUGGUAGUCCAUGAUAUCGAUACACAUUAUCAAAAAAGAGCCUUGCUGUGACUUCACUAGGUGAUGUCUUCUUGCAAGGGACAAAGUGUGCCAUCUUUGUAAGCCGAUCUACCAUGACAAAGAUGCUGUCAAAUGAGUUUGAUGAUGGCAGAUCCGUGAUGAAGUCCAUGGAAAUUGAAGACCAUGGUCGACGUAGAAUCAGCAAUGGCUGUAGGAGUUUAUAAGGGCAAUGCCUAGGAUUCUUGGAUCUUGAACAAAUGUUGCAGGAGAAGACAAAAUCUUUCACAUCCUUCCACAUUUGGGGCCACCAAAAAUCUCGAGAAAUAAGCUCCAAGGUCUUAUUGAAUCCAAAAUGUCUCUAAGCUGGAAAAUCGUGGCAAGAUUGAAGAACUCGGAGUCAUGCUGGUCCUUUUGGGAUAUAUAACCGCUCUUCAAAGUAUAAAAGAUCUCCCUCCACCUUGAACUUGUUGUCAUUGGUAUGCUGCUUAAUAUCAAUGGCUAUUGAAUCUUCAAUGGUCAUGGCACGUACCUGAUUCAGGAAGUUAGCAUCAAUUGGCACGAUAGUAGCGCAAAGCUGAAAUUGCUCUGGCUUCAACAAUGUCAUACAUUAUUGAUCAAACGCUGCUUCUCCAACCUUUGGUACAAGAUACAAUCUCCUCGAUAAGGCAUCAGAUAGUCCUUGUUGCUUUCCAGGUCGAUAAGUGAUAACAAAAUCGAACCUAGAUAGCAACAUACUCCAUCGAGCUUGACGUCGAUUUAGAACUUGAGCCGACAUGAAAUACUCCAAAUUCUUGUGAUCUGUGUAUACGGUCACUGGGUGUACAGCUCCUUCAAGAAAGUGACACCAUUCUUAGAAAGAAUCCACUAUAGCAAGAAGUUCCUUAUCAUGGAUCUCAUAAUUGAUUUCAGCAGCAGAGAACUUUCGAGAAUAGAAUGUAACUAGAUGGAGCUUCUUGUCUUCUCCCAUUUGUGAAAGUACAGCUUCCAAAGCAAAAUCCGAAGCAUCAGUUUCUAAAUAAAAGGCCUUUGUAAAGUCUAGAUGUACCAAGAUUGGAGCCGUAGUAAAUGCAGUCUUCAGAUCUUGAAAUGCCUUCUCCACUAGAGGUCCCCAUUCCAGCUUAUCCUUGCAUGUCAACCAAGUGAGAGGAGCAGCAACUUGAGAGUAAUUCUUGAUGAAGAUCCGAUAGAAGUUGGCAAAAUCAAGAAAGCAUUGUACAUCUCUAACCGUCUUUGGAACCACUCAGGACACGAUUGCUUCAACCUUCUUGGGGUCCAUCUUCAAGCCUUCCGUAGUCGCAACAAACUCCAAAAAUUCCAUCUCUAUUUGAUGAAAUAAAUACUUCUCCAACUUGACAUAUAGUCCUCGCUCGCAUAGUUUCUUCAAGACCAAACAAACGUGCUUUUCAUGCUCUUCCUCAUUUUUGGAGAAUAUCAAAAUAUCAACUAAAUAGAUGACAACAAAAUUGUCAAGGUACUCUCGAAAAAUAUCAUUCAUCAUAUGUUGAAAGACCGCUGGAGCAUUGGUAAGACCAAAGGGCAUGACAUUAUAUUCAAAAUGGCCAUACCUUAUACGGAAUGCUGUCUUCUACUUAUUUCCUUCCUUGAUUUGUACGAGGUUGUAAGCUCACCUUAGAUCAAUUUUUGUAAAGAUCUUUGCACGUCCAAGUUGUUCUAAGAGACCAAAAAUCAAGGGUAACGGAUAACGAUUCUUCUUUGUUACCUUGUUGAGGCCUCGAUAGUCCACGCACAUCCGCAAUGAGCCAUCUUUCUUCUUCACAAAUAAGAUGGGUGCUCCAGUUGACAAUUUUGAAUGACGGAUGAAGUUCUUAGCUAGAUUCUUGUCGAUGUACUUUUGCAACUCCGCCAACUCCAUCUGCGAUAGAUUGUAGAUUGGGCCAAAAGGCGGUUGUGCUCCUUCCUACAAGUCUAUGGUGUAAUCAUAUGGUCGGUGUUCUGGUAGCAUGUCGGCAUUCUUCUUUUGAAACACGUCUUUAAAAUCCUUACAUUGCUCAGGUAUACUUGUUGUCAAGAUCUUCUCCUCGGUAGUUGAAGCCGCAUAAAUGACAAACGGUAUGCCUUCCUUAGACGAUCUUAUAAAUGCUCUUACUCCAAUGAAUAAAGAUUUCUCUAUUCGGGAUUUUCUACUAGGCUUGCUCUUGGGUGGUUUUGUGAGAAAGGUCAUCUUCCGCAACCUCCAAUCUAUGGAUGGGUUAUGCUUUUUCAACUAGGAAAGAUCAAGAAUAACAGGAUUUGAUGGAGUUCUAAUAAUAUUGAAAAUAAUAUGACUAUUAUGGCUUUUAAACGUCACUUUUAUAGGUUUUGAUUCAUGGGUGAUACUAUCAGACAAUAAAGGUUGCCCAUCUAUGAUCUCAACGUGAACAGGUUUGGAUUUUUUUACUAAAAGGAUCUUAUGAUGCUUCGUAAAUUCUUUGUCUAAGAAACAAGCAGAUGCUCUUGAAUCUAAUAAUGCUAAGGUUCUCAGUUUCUGAGGGCUAAUAAACAAAGGGAUUGUAAAGCAAAGGGCAGGUUGAGCAGAAAGUAAGGAACCUGGUUGUUGUUGCGAUAUUUCACUGUCGAGUCGCACGGUUCCUAUUGUGGCUGGGCAUCCUCAUUUUCUUGAACAAAUGUACCCCUAGUCCUGACAAAACGUCGAUUUUGCUUCUUGGGACAGUUUCCAACUUUGUGGCCUUCUUCACCGCAAUACAAGCAUAGACUUUCCUCCAUACGCCGCUUUUUUUUUUCUUGGAUAAGAGAUUUGACACGUACCGCAUCAAUUUACAUGUCUUCUACCUCUGAAUGUGAAUUCAUAUUGCUUGUCGACAUAAUUGAGGCAUGGCGAACUGUAUGUUGUCUUGAACGUUGGUCUUGGCGGAGUUGAAAUAGGCGAUUAUCACACUUCACAGCUUAGCUAAUAGCUUCAUUGAGCGUUUGUGGAUUAGGAAGAGUUAACAGCAAAUCUUUCACAUCAUCCCUUAAAUCUCAAUAGAAUUGACUCAUCAACGCUUCUUCAUGCCAAUUGAUAUCGCAUGCUAAGUGCCUGAAGUCCGAUGCAUAGACUGAUGUAGAGCGCAUCCCUUGUCGUAGUGACCGGAUCUUUGUUGUAGCCCAUUGAAUCUUGUCGUGUUUACCAAAUGCUUCCACAAAUGCCUCCAAAAAGGUUUCAAAGUUGUUUAGUAUGGAUGAUCGUUUCUCAAACAAAGGACCAAACCAUGAUAGAGCUUGCCGUGUAAGUAAGGUUCCAACAAGUCCAACACGUGACUCCUCCAUUGGAUAGCAUUCGGGCUGUAAAACUAUUAUUAACCUAAUUUGAUUGACGAAUCCUGGAAACUUGGAAUGCGUACUAUCGAACUUCUCUGGAAGGCUAACUCGGGGCUCCUUAUGUUGUAGAAUGAGCAAUGCUUGUCAAACCUGAGGCAAAGUUGCUUCUCCAAGUGUAGAAGUUUGAGGCUGGUGCAACCUAGAUUGUGCCAUCCCAGAUACUCCAUCAUUAUGAAGCCUUGCCACGACUCCUUCAAUCUCUGCAGUUCUUUGUAAUAAUGUAGCAAGGGCAUUCAUGAUAGCAUCCAACUUGGACUCCGAACUUUCCAUUAUACUAAUGUCUUAGCCUCUGGCCAUUCUAAGAGAAGGACAGAAAUGACUCUAUAAGAAGACAAUAUUGGUUUAGAGGAGGGUACUCCGCAACCUCUAAAAUGCCUUAAGAGCUUCAAGAAAAGGGGUAAUCCACUCUCUCCAAGAAGAAUAAGACUUCAAUAUUAUAACAAAAGAAGUAUCAGUUUAGAGGAGGGUAAUCCGCAACCUCUAAAAUACUAGUACACUUCUAAGAAGAGGGAUAAUCCGCACUCUAAGGAAGAAGAAACUAACUCUGAUAUCUGAGGUGAGUGAAGUCUCGACAAACUGUCACGGAUACAGAAAUGCAGACCCGAGAUCUAACAAGAAGUUCAAGAAGAACUGGCAAGAACUAGAUUAAUCAGAUGAAUACAAGAACAACACCAGAGAGGUGAGCUAGAGCUCCAAGAGAUGUGUUGUCAAGACUAAAGAACUCUUCAGCCUCGAUUCCAAUAUAUACUCCUAUUUAGGAAGCUUUUCAAGUAACUUCUACCAAAUAAGAAGCUUCUAGAAGGUUCCAGAGACUUAUUUCUAGAAGAUUCUAGAAACUUAUCUCUAAAAGGUUCUAAGGACUAUGUUCCUAUCAUCUUCUACCAACUAAGAAGCUUCUAGAAGGUUCCAGAGACUUGCUUCUUAAGGUUCUAGAAACUUGUCUCUGGAAGGUUCUAGAAACUUGACUCUAGAAGGUUCUAAGGACUUUGUCCCAUACAAGUAGCACCAAGCUUACCCCAGCUCACAACUCUCUUAGUCUGGCCCUCGGCUCAGCUCUAUCGCAGUCUGGCCCUCGGCUCAGCACUAUCGCAAUCUGGCAUUUUCUUCCCCUCUCCCAUCCUCCUUAUACUACCCCGAGAUACCAACUCCUAUAUUAUAGAUGAUAACUACUUUUCUUGACUAUUCAUCCAUUCUACCUGCUGAACCACCUUUUCAGCAAUUAUCUAUCCAUGUUUAUACUAUAUACUGGAUAUCUAUAUUUUGAAAAUAACUACUUAUUCUACAUAGCCCCACUCUUAACUGUGCAGCAUCCUUGCAAACACUCAAUUGAUACCUAUCUAAAAAUUAUCUAACAAAACUCUUUAAAAAUUGUGAUCCCUCUGGCCUAUCUAAUUAAUCAAUUGCCGCAAUAUCUAUUAUUGGUUCUAUCGAUUCCGAUUCCAAUUAUAAAUCUUCAUCCUCCUCCAAUCCUUCCAUUGGUUCUUGCCUCAACUGAGCUGAAAGGUCUUCAUUGUACUCACCCAGUUCACGGACUUGAGCUUCCAAUUUCAAGAUUUGGGUAUCUCUCAAUUCCAACUGGCGCUGAAAGUGACUCCUCUCUUCUAGAACUUCGGAAACUGGCAACGUCGAUACUUGUUCUUGACCAAUAUUGACUAAAUCCUCUACCAAUCUUGUCACCUCGGCAUUCAAGGCCUCAAUUUCAGCCGUUAACAGCUCCGUUUCACAUCUGUAUCAGUCACUCAAUACCAAUUUCUCUUGCGCCAAUAACUCGGUCUUUUUUUGUUCCAUUACCAACUGACCUUUUGCUUUUUCUAGUUCCAAAAUUAAAUGAUUGCAAGCCCAAAAUAGUUCUUGUCUGUGAGUCUCCACCAUGCGUUCUCUUUCUUUGUCCCAAGCUUCUCACUAUUAACUCUUAAUUGGAACUACUACUCUCGAAAACACAAGAAAUACAAGAAAAUGGCACUCCAGCCAACCCAAAACAACACCACAAAAUGACUUUAACUGGUGCCCCACUCCUAUUCUUUUACCUAGUGGUGAUAAUACCAAUAUGUUACUCAUACUAUCCGUGAAAGGUAAUGAGAAGUAAUCUUUCUUGAUGGCCACAUUUAACUUUCAAAAAUCUUGACAUAUCCUGAUUUUUCCAUUCUUCUUCCGUACCCUCACGAUUGGCGAAACCCACUCACUAUUUGGUACUGGGUAAAUAAAACCAACCGAAAGAAGCUUGUCUAAUUCUUCUUUUACCAUGAGAGAAUAUUUAGGAUUAAGGCGAUGUUGUCUCUGCUGUACCGGUUUAGCGUUCUCCUCUAAAAUGAUAUGAUGCUCACAGACUUCAGUGGGAAUAUCUUUUAAAUCAUCAUAAGUCCAAACAAAAGUGGAUUUAUGAUGCAAGAAAAAUUCGUUCCAGCAGGUCAACUCUUGUUCCUUAAUACCUUCGUAGACCUUAAUUGUCCGAGGUUUUGCUGUGGUCGCCAAGUUGAUAGUUUGACAUAAAGGUGCAACGAUGAUGUUCUAUUUCAACCCCCGCGCUGCUUUAAAGUCAGUCGGUAAGUUCGACAUGUACGAAGUACUGAAUCCUGUGUCCAGGGCACUAACAUGGUGCACAUCAUACUUGAUCAUACAAUCAGUAUUAACAUAAUCCGAGUUUUUCGAGUCCGUCAAGUAUAUCAAGUACUCCCUCAAACCUCUACAUUGGUACACCACUCUAGGGUGUAGUGCUGCCUCCACGGGCGCCUUCGUAAUUGGUGCUACUAUGUCGUUAUCGGAGCUAAGUUCAUCGUCUGAUGUUAAUUCAGAUGCUGGCAAUUGAAACUCUCCAUGAUAUUGUACCGGGUACAUCUGUAGAACAAUCUGGUCCCGACCUUUUCCAAUUGUCAAUGUGCCUCGGCUCCAAUUGUUCUUAGCUUUAGCUUGAUAAAGCCAAGGUCUGCCCAAUAAAAUGGGAUAUGAUAAUGUAGAACUCUGUAAUCGAAAUAUAAUAUAAUCGAUUUUGUAUGUCAAUCCCACGAUUACAGUGGCAAUAUUACAUAAGAUUCUCAUUGGCUUUACCCAACUAUGAUCUGCCAUUUGCAAGACCAAUGUCGUAGGUAGCAAUUGCUUUAGUUCCAAGUCUUCUAUUGUAUCCGCGUUCAUUAAAUUCACAUUGGAGCCACCAUCGACUUGUACCCCUGGAAUUAAAAUGCCAUCGAUUGAUACAUCGAUUGUUGGUGAUCCCGGAUCUGGGUUUAAGCUAACUUCAUGAAUUUCUUUGGUGCGGGAUCUUCAUCGUAUUAAUGCUGAAUUCAAUGUAGAUCGACAUUUCGGUGGUACAGCCAAAAGUUGCUUCAUUGUAAUUGAAGGCUGAAUAACAUCCAAAUCCCUCAGAAUGUCAUAGGGUUCUAUAUUGAGAGUAAUUCCCAAUGCUCUUUUGCAUUUCAUUGGUUUCGAUUUUACUCCGUUUGGCAGCAAUUCCUUCCUGGCAAUUGAAAUUGUCGUUGGUAACUUUGCCAACUUGUCUACCUAUAAAGGUUCCUUUAAUGCAUAAGAUCUUUUAUUGGGCUGUACAAGUAUGGGUACUUGGUCAGUUGGGAUCGAUCUUGAUGGUCCCGAUAAAUUGGCACGUGGGACUGAAUUGGGUUCCUUAGUCUAUUGAGGUCUCAAUAUUGGAAUACGUUCCAAUACUAAUAUUGGUUUAUUUAGCCCCGUGGACGGUGCUACUUGCUCUCAUGCGAUUGGUUCAUCCAUGUCCUGAAUUGGAUUCUUGUCUUUUUUUUGGCCUUUGAUAAGCACUGCGUUCACCACCUCGACACGAUGUACUGGUGAGUCUCGUUGAACAGGGCCUUUGUCCUCCGUCGAUUGGCUUGUUUGCAUUUGCUGGUCCCGGUUAUUAUAAUUAAAGGGUGUAUUGCACUGUUGAUAAGUGUGACCAAACUGCUUACAAUUUCCACAUAUUGAAGCAUAGUCAUCACUGGCCCUUAGAUAAGACAUUCACUCAUAUAAUGUCUAAUUUGUCUGCAACGAUAGCAACAAAGUGGUCUCCUGCCAACUCCUUCAGGGAUAAUGGGUGUCUCUACUGGUAUAUAACGGCUAGGUCUAUUCUAUGUCGAAUGAGUAAAGGAUCCUGGUUGACCCAUUGUUACUGAAGAGUCUGGCAUUCACUUCGUCAUGGAUGGAUAUUGAUGGUAUCCUGGUUGGUUCAUCGCCAAUCCGUGAGUAUUGGAUACACCUUCUUGGUGAAAUUUAGAGUUGAGGAAAUUAGAAUAAUUCCUAUUUUUUUUAUUCGCUUGAUUUCCAUUCCAGCCAAACCUAUUAUUCAUCUGUACUUGAUUGACAUCCCACAAAGUUGGUUGAGUCAUUAUCUAGUUACUGAGUUGUUGUUGCUUCCAUAAAUUCCAAUAGUUGGUGGUAAUAUGCUUGCCUAUGUAAAAGGUACAUUGUAGAGUCAUUUGGGGUGGUGAAGGACAUUCUGUUACUAAAUGACUUUGCCCCUUACAAUUGCUACACCAGACAUUAGGACGCAUAUUAGUUGGUUUAUACCUUUUUUCUUUAUUCUUGGCCAAAUUCACAGCCAAUUCAUCCAUUUUUUUUCGUCAAUGUUAACAACAAUGACUCAUUAAGAUCUCUUGAUACCAAUGCAUUUGGUAAUUCUUUUGUAGGUAUUGGUUUCUGAUAUGCAGAAUAAGGCACAUACAUGUGUGAUGAUGAUGGUGGUACAGCUUAUAAUGGAACGGUAUCCACUAUUCCCUGUGGAAUUGUACCAUAAUCAUUCCUUCCCAAAUAACUUCUCGACGCGUCAUUCCAAUUUGUCAUUUGAUAACCUCCUUGAGAUGGAAUCAUCGUGGCUCCAACUAUUAAGUUCUAGUCAUAGUGACAUUCCUCCCAUACUUUUGUUCGCUCAAGAGAUGAUGAAAUGGUGGCUGAUUGGGCCUCCUUUACAAACAUUUUCAAUUUUGGUGGGUGUAGUCCAUUAACCAAUAUGGACAACACAAAUGAUUCUGGCAUUUGGUUAUUUGGCCAUUUUCGAAGAAUAUCCACUACAUGACCAUAAUAUGACUGUAUCGCUUCCCUUCGUACUAUUCUGCUGUUCAUUAAUUUUUUUCUAAGACGUUCUUCAAAACCAAUUGGUCAAAAAUCGGCUAAAAAUACAUUUUUCAAUGCCUCCCAAUUGAUAAAUUAUUCCACAGAUUGGCGGUUAUACCACUCAAAUUCUCUGUCUUUCAAUGUCACUAGCAGCCAUCUCAGCCAAAUAACUUCUGUUCUUCCAUUAUUGGCUACAUACGUCAUCAAGAAUUGAGACAAAUGUUGAUCUGGAUCCGCACCUGGCAAAUCCUGAAAAGUAGGUAAUGGCGCGACGCUAGUCAUUCGAUCGUCCACUGCAUCCAUUUGAACUGCAAUCGGAACUGUUGGUCCUCUGGAUGUCAUUAAAGAUGUCGAUGUUCUGCUCAAUUUCUUAUUAAAAUAAAAAUUAUCUCCCGCAAAAGUCUUUUUUAGACUCCUAAGCCUUCCCGAUUGACUAUUAUUAUCCCUAAAAAAAAAUUUUGGUUGAAUAUGAGGUAAAAACGAUAGGUUUUGAUAUACUCUGAAUUGGUCUUUAUUGGCAAGUGAUUUAUGCCGAUCUUUAGAACCAAUCUUGUUAGGAUCCGACGUAUUUCCAAUUGAGAAGAUACCCAAUGGGAUACCUAUUUCUUCUGUGCCUUCCUCGUUUUCCAUUAGCAGCUUCGAAAGGUUUGCUCGACUAUUAGCAGUGCUCCCAGCGAGUGCUCUUGGCAAUUUCUUUAACGGUAUGUACUUCUGAAAUAUUAGAGGUCGAUCGACUUCUGGGUACGAUCAAAUAUGCCGACAGGCAUGCAACCACGGUUUAAUCCAACUUUGUCGAUGCUUCUUUUUUAAUUUGCGAUCUCGCUCAUUACGUAACAAAUUUCUUGCUUGCGAUCUCUCUGUUCUUUCCUUUGAUUGCUUUAUUCUCUUUGCUGUUAAAUUCUCAUUCUUAAUAACCAUACUCUUUCUUCAAACACUACUGAAAUCGUCUUCCAUUGCCAAUUUUCUCACACGUUUGGUAAUUAAUUCAUAACACUCAAAGCUAUUAUCACUCCCCGACAGUAGCGCCAAAAUGUGAUUGCUUGUUUUACUUAUUUUGGAAGAAACCUCCCAGCAUAAACCCGUAUAGGAGGAUUCAAACAUGGCGAAUGACUAGUUGCUUAAGCGUUCUCGUUAGGGUCACACAAUCAAUUACCUCUUAAAUGUAUCGUCUCUAUUUCCAAUAUUUGAACACACUAGGAAACUACAAUCUCCUCCUUCACCUUAUUGGUCUCUUCCUUACAAUAAUUCAAUCAUACCAAUAACUGCUAUUUCCACCAAUAUAUUCACCCUCAUAAUUUCCAAUUGUAAUACUACGCCCUCACAGCUUUCAGCACACAAUUACCCUCGUUCCAAUCACUAGAAUUCUUCACACUGAACUGCCAUUCAUGUUACAGUGUUUUACACAAACACAGACUCAUUCUCUCUGCUGAACUACAAUCAAAUUUCAGCAUUCAAUCUUUCUUCUUUUCAAAUAAUACCAAUCACAUUUCCAUUCCAUAAUUCACUUCACAAUAUUCAGAAACUUUCAAUCUUCUUAUUCAAAGAAAAUAACAAACAAAAGAAAAGAGGUAGCACCAAGCUUACCCCGGCUCACAACUCUCUUAUUCUGGCCCUCGGCUCAACACUAUCGCAGUUUGGCAUUUUCUUCCCCUCUCCCAUCCUCCUUAUACUACUCCGAGAUACCAACUCCUAUACUAUACAUGAUAACUACUUUUCUUGACUAUUCAUCUAUUCUACCUAUUGAACCACC
rnacentral:lncRNA from 1 species